ACAUGCAAGUCGAGCGGAUCUUCAUUAGCUUGCUUUUGAAGAUCAGCGGCGGACGGGUGAGUAACACGUGGGCAACCUGCCUGUAAGACUGGGAUAACUUCGGGAAACCGGAGCUAAUACCGGAUAAUCCUUUCCCUCACAUGAGGGAAAGCUGAAAGACGGUUUCGGCUGUCACUUACAGAUGGGCCCGCGGCGCAUUAGCUAGUUGGUGAGGUAAUGGCUCACCAAGGCAACGAUGCGUAGCCGACCUGAGAGGGUGAUCGGCCACACUGGGACUGAGACACGGCCCAGACUCCUACGGGAGGCAGCAGUAGGGAAUCUUCCGCAAUGGACGAAAGUCUGACGGAGCAACGCCGCGUGAACGAUGAAGGCUUUCGGGUCGUAAAGUUCUGUUGUUAGGGAAGAACAAGUACCGGAGUAACUGCCGGUACCUUGACGGUACCUAACCAGAAAGCCACGGCUAACUACGUGCCAGCAGCCGCGGUAAUACGUAGGUGGCAAGCGUUGUCCGGAAUUAUUGGGCGUAAAGCGCGCGCAGGCGG
rnacentral:rRNA from 1 species